rnacentral:rRNA from 1 species
GACGAACGCUGGCGGCGUGCUUAACACAUGCAAGUCGAGCGGAAAGGCCCUGCUUUUGUGGGGUUCUCGAGUGGCGCACGGGUGAGUAACACGAGAGUAACCUGCCCUUGACUUUGGGAUAAGUUCAGGAAACUGGGGCUAAUACCAGAUACCAUCUCCUGCUACAUGGCAUGGUUUGUAGAGGUUCGUCGGGUGGGUAUGGACUAGCCGCUUAUCAUCUUGUUGGUUGGGUAGUGGCUUACCACGGCGUUGAGGGGUUGCCGGCCUGAGAGGGUGACUGGCCACAUUGGGACAGAGAUACGGCCCAGACUCCUACGGGAGGCAGCAGUGGGGAAUAUUGCACGAUGGGCGGAAGCCUGAUGCAGCAACGCCGCGUGCGGGAUGACGGACUUCGGGUUGUAAACCGCUUUCGCCUGUGACGAAGCGUGAGUGACGGUAAUGGGUAAAGAAGCACCGGCUAACUACGUG